CGCUGCGCAUGUCGUUCCACAGGAUCGCGGGGCGCAGCACGCGAUCGCCGCUAUCGAGCAGCACCGCGCCGUGCAUCUGGCCGGACAGCCCGAUGCCGCGCACCGCGGCGAACGCCUGCGGAUGGCGCGCGCGCAGCGCGGCGAGCGUGCCGGCCCACCAGUCGUCCGGAUGCUGCUCGGCCCAGCGCGGAUGCGCGCGCGCGACGGUAAACGGCGUGCCCGCCGUGCCGACGACGGCGCCGUCGGGCGAAAGCAGCAGCACCUUCACUUCGGAGGUGCCGAGAUCGAUGCCGAGGUACAUGAGCGAAAAGCGGUGCGUCGACGGGAAGCCGCUACUUUAGCCGCGCGCCCGCCGCCGCGCCAAUGGCGAUUUGGCCCGAGCAACGCGCGGCGGCGUGACGGCCGAGCGGCUCAGCGGCUCGCGAGCCAUGCGUCGACGCGCGCGGCGCCCGCGCGUAGCGCGCGCUCGAGCGCGGGCGUGCCGGCGAGCGCGCCCCAGAGCGGGCGUUCGCCGGCGAGCGCGGCGACGGGGUCGGCCGCGCCCGCGAUCGCGCGCGCGACGCGCGCGUCCAUCACGCCGUCCUGAUACGCGUACGGCAGCGCGCCUUGCGCCCAGCGCUGCAGGAAGCGCAGGAAGAGCGCGGGCAGCACCGCGGUCGACACCGGCUCGACGCCGCGCGCGAUCGAUUCGGCGAGCGUCGGCGCGAUGAAGCCGGGAAUCUUCGAGAAGCCGUCGGCGGCCACGCGCUGGUUCGUGUCGCGGAUGUGCGGAUUGCCGAAGCGCUCGAGCACGACGUCGCGGUAGCGCGCGAGGUCGAGCGGGCUCGGCGUGAGGUACGGGAUCACGUCGUCGGUCACGUACGCGUGCGCGAAGCGGCGAAUGUGCGCGUCGCGCGUGCCUUCGUGAAUGUAUGAAUGGCCCGCGAGCGUGCCCGCCCAGGCGAUGCAGCUGUGCGUCGCGUUCAGGAUCCGGAUCUUCGCUUCCUCGUACGGAUGGACGUCGUCGACGAGCUCCGCGCCCGCCUUCUCCCACGCGGGCCGGCCGGCCGCGAAGCGAUCCUCGAUCACCCACUGGAUGAACGCCUCGCCCAUCACCGGGCACGCGUCGUCGAAGCCGGUGGCCGCGCGCACGCGCUCGCGCACGUCGGGCGUGGGGCGCGGUGUGAUGCGGUCGACCAUCGAGCUCGGGCACGCGACGUUCGCAUCGAACCACGCGAGCAGCUCGACGAGGCCGCGCCGCGCGAGGAAUGCGCGCAUGCCGGCGCGAAAGCGCGCGCCGUUGUUGCGCAGGUUGUCGCAGCUCUGCAGCGUGAGCGGGCCGGCGCCGCGCGCGGCCCGUUCGGCGAGAAGCGCGGCGAGCGCGCCGUAGAUCGUGAGGCGCGCGCCUUGCAAGUC
rnacentral:rRNA from 2 species